CUGAAUCGGAAACCAGGGAUGCGCUAAAUCAUUCGUUCUUUGGUGGUAAAAAAUCUGGUUUUUUGUCGAUGGUUAAGUUUUUCCUGUCAAAGUCAAGGAACUUCCAAAUUUUGUCAACAUUUAAUUACAGGAAAAAUAUGAAAAAAAUAAUAAGUUCAGCAUUAUCCUAGAGUUCCUAGACACGAUUGAUAUCCCAGCACCCAAAGGAAAAUAUUGUUAACAGGAACGUGCCAACGGGACCCGAAGUGGAGAGUCAGGAAAAGAAACACACUAGGCAAGCUUGGUGAUAUUUAAUUGUCCUACGCCGCAUGUCGAAGAAAAAGGAAGAGAGAAAAUACUUUUCAAGGGUAAUAAAGAAGAUUCUUACAAUUUCUCUAUUGUGGUUCUAGAUGUUAAUAUAUAUAUUAGGUUUAAUAAUAAGAAGUCUAAUAUUGCAAGAAUAUAUAAGGCAAAGCAAU